rnacentral:rRNA from 1 species
ACGAACGCUGGCGGCGUGCCUAAUACAUGCAAGUCGAGCGGAAUGAUGAAGAAGCUUGCUUCUUCUGAUUUUAGCGGCGGACGGGUGAGUAACACGUGGGCAACUACCUUGUAGAUUGGGAUAACUCCGGGAAACCGGGGCUAAUACCGAAUAAUCCAUUUUGCUUCAUGGCGAGAUGUUGAAAGACGGUUUCGGCUGUCACUACAAGAUGGGCCCGCGGCGCAUUAGCUAGUUGGUAGGGUAAUGGCCUACCAAGGCGACGAUGCGUAGCCGACCUGAGAGGGUGAUCGGCCACACUGGGACUGAGACACGGCCCAGACUCCUACGGGAGGCAGCAGUAGGGAAUCUUCCACAAUGGACGAAAGUCUGAUGGAGCAACGCCGCGUGAGUGAAGAAGGUUUUCGGAUCGUAAAACUCUGUUGUAAGGGAAGAACACGUACGAGAGUAACUGCUCGUACCUUGACGGUACCUUAUUAGAAAGCCACGGCUAACUACGUG